rnacentral:sRNA from 1 species
GUCAGGUGUGGUGGCACACACCUGUAGUCCCAGUGGCUUUGGAGGCUGAGGCAGGAGGAUUGUAAGUUCAAAUCCAGCCUCAGCAAUUUAGCGAGGUCCUAAGCAACUCAGUGAGAUCCUGUCUCUA